UACGUAGGCAGCGAGCGUUGUUCGGAGUUACUGGGCGUAAAGCGUGCGUAGGCGGCGGUCCAUGUCUGGUGUGAAAUCUCCCGCUUAACUGGGAGGGUGCGCCGAAUACUGAGGGACUAGAGUACGGGAGAGGAAAGUGGAAUUCCUGGUGUAGCGGUGAAAUGCGUAGAUAUCAGGAGGAACACCGGUGGUGUAGACGGCUUUCUGGACCGACACUGACGCUGAGACACGAAAGCGUGGGUAGCAAACAGG
rnacentral:rRNA from 1 species